GUUGGCCACAGGAGAAGGAUAGAACAUAAUCGCUACCCUAAAAGAGAGUAUCUUCUAGUAGGGGAGCUCAGAUACAUAUACAAAAAACAGCUGGGUAUCCGUACGAGUCAGCAUGUGAUGUUGGUUCCAAAGUUGACCCGUAUGGGUUUAUACACAAAUACAUAUUUUAUGGAAACACAAGAAACUAGUCAUUGUGGCUGCCUCCACAGUGGGAACUGUAGGACAAGGGAAGAAAGGGCUGAGGACAGAGCUGGGGCCAACUACUGUGGCACAGAGCGUGGACCACUGCGGGCCCACAGUGUGUAUUUCAGUUUGCUUUUGUCGUCUGAAGGACCAAGCCUGGGGAUUCUGCAGCUGUAGCUGUCAAGAAACUGUCCCAGGGACUUUCCUCACAAUGUGGACAACCCCAGGAUUCAGGCCUCGGCUUCCCAGGCUGAGAGGCCAAUGGUGGGUGAGCUUAGCGCUCAGCUCCAGCAAAGGCAGACCCGUCAUCCCCUUCCUCCCAUCCUUAGGCAGGAGCUGGCAGGAGAUCAGAUGCUACUUCAGUUCCAAGGGGCUCAUGAACAAAAGCUACCAAGUUGCUUAGAAACCUGCUUUUCUGAGGGUUCACCAGGUUUUCCUUUGUUUCUAUGGCAUUGUGUGUGUGAGUGUGCAUGACCACGCUGAGGGCCAUCACCCCGCCAGGUCUGCAGCAAGUGGGACCGGAACGUGAGAAC